rnacentral:rRNA from 1 species
GAUGAACGCUGGCGGCGUGCCUAAUACAUGCAAGUCGAGCGAACAGAUGAGGAGCUUGCUCCUCUGACGUUAGCGGCGGACGGGUGAGUAACACGUGGAUAACCUACCUAUAAGACUGGGAUAACUUCGGGAAACCGGAGCUAAUACCGGAUAGUAUAUUGAACCGCAUGGUUCAAUAGUGAAAGACGGUUUUGCUGUCACUUAUAAAUGGAUCCGCGCCGCAUUAGCUAGUUGGUAAGGUAACGGCUUACCAAGGCAACGAUGCGUAGCCGACCUGAGAGGGUGAUCGGCCACACUGGAACUGAGACACGGUCCAGACUCCUACGGGAGGCAGCAGUAGGGAAUCUUCCGCAAUGGGCGAAAGCCUGACGGAGCAACGCCGCGUGAGUGAUGAAGGUCUUCGGAUCGUAAAACUCUGUUAUUAGGGAAGAACAAAUGUGUAAGUAACUAUGCACGUCUUGACGGUACCUAAUCAGAAAGCCACGGCUAACUACGUG